GGAGACGUGGCCGAGUGGUUGAAGGUACUCCCCUGCUAAGGGAGCAUGUGGCUUAAAACUGCAUCGAGGGUUCGAAUCCCUCCGUCUCCGCCA
rnacentral:tRNA from 1 species